GAUGAACGCUAGCGGCAGGCUUAACACAUGCAAGUCGAGGGGCAGCAUAAAUAGUAGCAAUACUAUUGGUGGCGACCGGCGGACGGGUGCGUAACGCGUAUACAACCUUCCCUAAACAGGGGGAUAAUCUGGAGAAAUUCGGUCUAAUACCCCAUAACAUCAGAGCAGGCAUCUGUUUUGGUUAAAAUUUCCGGAGGCUUAGGAUGGGUAUGCGUAGCAUUAGCUAGUUGAUGAGGUAACGGCUCACCAAGGCGACGAUGCUUAGGGGGACUGAGAGGUUGACCCCCCACACUGGUACGGAGAGACGGACCAGACUCCUACGGGAGGCAGCAGUGAGGAAUAUUGGUCAAUGGGCGGAAGCCUGAACCAGCCAUGCCGCGUGCAGGAUGACGGCUCUAUGAGUUGUAAACUGCUUUUGUACGAGGGUAAAGUGGGCUACGUGUAGCCUUUUGAAAGUAUCGUACGAAUAAGGAUCGGCUAACUCCGUGCCAGCCGCCGCCGUAA
rnacentral:rRNA from 1 species